GAAUUCAUGCGCAGCUUACCAUGCAGUCGAACGAAGUCUUCGGACUUAGUGGCAGACGGGUGAGUAACGCGUGGGAAUCUACCCAGUUCUCUGGAAUAACUGAUGGAAACGUCAGCUAAUACCGGAUACGCCCUUUUGGGGAAAGAUUUAUCGGGAUUGGAUGAGCCCGCGUAAGAUUAGCUAGUUGGUGGGGUAAUGGCCUACCAAGGCGACGAUCUUUAGCUGGUCUGAGAGGAUGAUCAGCCACACUGGGACUGAGACACGGCCCAGACUCCUACGGGAGGCAGCAGUGGGGAAUAUUGGACAAUGGGGGCAACCCUGAUCCAGCCAUGCCGCGUGAGUGAUGAAGGCCUUAGGGUUGUAAAGCUCUUUCACCGGUGAAGAUAAUGACGGUAACCGGAGAAGAAGCCCCGGCUAACUUCGUGCCAGCAGCCGCGGUAAUACGAAGGGGGCUAGCGUUGUUCGGAAUUACUGGGCGUAAAGCGCACGUAGGCGGAUAUUUAAGUCAGGGGUGAAAUUU
rnacentral:rRNA from 1 species